CGGGGGGCAGCAGUGGGGAAUUUUGGACAAUGGGGGCAACCCUGAUCCAGCCAUGCCGCGUGAGUGAAGAAGGCCUUCGGGUUGUAAAGCUCUUUCAGCAGGAACGAAACGGCGGAUACUAAUACUAUCCGCUAAUGACGGUACCUGAAUAAGAAGCACCGGCUAACUACGUGCCAGCAGCCGCGGUAAUACGUAGGGUGCGAGCGUUAAUCGGAAUUACUGGGCGUAAAGCGUGCGCAGGCGGUUUCGUAAGCCAGAUGUGAAAUCCCCGGGCUUAACCUGGGAACUGCGUUUGGAACUGCGAGGCUAGAGUGUAGCAGAGGGGGGUAGAAUUCCACGUGUAGCAGUGAAAUGCGUAGAGAUGUGGAGGAAUACCGAUGGCGAAGGCAGCCCCCUGGGUUAACACUGACGCUCAUGCACGAAAGCGUGGGGAGCAAACAGGAUUAGAUACCCGUGU
rnacentral:rRNA from 1 species